rnacentral:lncRNA from 1 species
CUCACUUUCUCUUCCAUCCAAAUUCGCAGUCCUUCCGUCCAAAAUAGCCGUUUGGGACACGUGAAUUGACAAAAUUAACCCUCACUAAACCCAAACCCAAAUACCCCUUCUUCUUCUUCUCCUUCUUCUUCUCCUUCUUCUUCCUACCAUUUUCUACAACUUCUUCUUUUCUUCUUCUUUCUCCUUCUUCUUCUUCUUCUUCUUCUUCUUCUUCUUUCUUCUUCUUCUUCUUCUUACCCUCUUUUCUGCAAUUUCUUAUUCUUCUUCUUCUUCUUCUUCUUUCUCCUUCUUCUUCUUCUUCUUCUUCUUCUUCUUCUCCUUCUUCUUCCUACCCUUUUCUGCAACUUUUUCUUCUUUCUCCUUCUUCUUCUUCUUCUUCUUCUUCUUCUUCUUCUUCUUCUUCAAAGAAAGCAUGAAAGAGAAAAAAAAAAGGAAUUUCACAUUAAGAGAAGGGUAUUUCUGGAAAAAAUUAUCACCUCUCACUUUUGACUCUUUGACCAAACGG